rnacentral:rRNA from 1 species
UACGUAGGGUGCGAGCGUUAAUCGGAAUUACUGGGCGUAAAGGGCUCGUAGGCGGCCAACUAAGUCACACGUGAAAUCCCCAGGCUUAACCUGGGAACUGCGUGUGAUACUGGAUGGCUUGAAUCCGGGAGAGGGAUGCGGAAUUCCAGGUGUAGCGGUGAAAUGCGUAGAUAUCUGGAGGAACACCGGUGGCGAAGGCGGCAUCCUGGACCGGUAUUGACGCUGAUGAGCGAAAGCCAGGGGAGCAAACGGG